GAUCCUGGCUCAGGACGAACGCUGGCGGCGUGCCUAACACAUGCAAGUCGAGCGGAGACAGUGAGUAGCUUGCUAUGAGCUGUUUUAGCGGCGGACGGGUGAGUAACGCGUGAGCAACCUUUCCCAGACAGGGGAAUAACACACCGAAAGGUGUACUAAUACCGCAUAAGACCACGGGAUCACAUGGUUCUGGGGUAAAAGAAUUAUCGGUUUGGGGUGGGUUCGCGUCCGAUUAGGUAGUUGGUGAGGUAACGGCCCACCAAG
rnacentral:rRNA from 1 species